GGGGGGCAGCAGUAGGGAAUCUUCCGCAAUGGACGAAAGUCUGACGGAGCAACGCCGCGUGAGUGAUGAAGGCUUUCGGGUCGUAAAACUCUGUUGUUAGGGAAGAACAAGUGCUAGUUGAAUAAGCUGGCACCUUGACGGUACCUAACCAGAAAGCCACGGCUAACUACGUGCCAGCAGCCGCGGUAAUACGUAGGUGGCAAGCGUUAUCCGGAAUUAUUGGGCGUAAAGCGCGCGCAGGUGGUUUCUUAAGUCUGAUGUGAAAGCCCACGGCUCAACCGUGGAGGGUCAUUGGAAACUGGGAGACUUGAGUGCAGAAGAGGAAAGUGGAAUUCCAUGUGUAGCGGUGAAAUGCGUAGAGAUAUGGAGGAACACCAGUGGCGAAGGCGACUUUCUGGUCUGUAACUGACACUGAGGCGCGAAAGCGUGGGGAGCAAACAGGAUUAGAUACCCUGGUAGUCCACGCCGUAAACGAUGAGUGCUAAGUGUUAGAGGGUUUCCGCCCUUUAGUGCUGAAGUUAACGCAUUAAGCACUCCGCCUGGGGAGUACGGCCGCAAGGCUGAAACUCAAAGGAUU
rnacentral:rRNA from 1 species